AAUGAACGCUGGCGGCGCGCCUAAUACAUGCAAGUCGAGCGAGAAGACGUAGCAAUACGUUUGUAAAGCGGCGAACGGGUGAGGAAUACAUGGGUAACCUACCCUCGAGUGGGGAAUAACUAGCCGAAGGUUAGCUAAUACCGCGUACGCUCCUUGGACUUCGGUUCAGGGAGGAAAGCGAUACCGUGGGUAUCGCGCUCUUGGUUGGGCUCAUGUCCUAUCAGCUUGUUGGUGAGGUAACGGCUCACCAAGGCUUCGACGGGUAGCUGGUCUGAGAGGACGAUCAGCCACACUGGCACUGCGACACGGGCCAGACUCCUACGGGAGGCAGCAGUAAGGAAUAUUGCGCAAUGGGCGAAAGCCUGACGCAGCGACGCCGCGUGGGGGA
rnacentral:rRNA from 1 species